UACGUAGGGUGCGAGCGUUGUCCGGAAUUAUUGGGCGUAAAGGGCUCGUAGGCGGUCUGUCACGUCGGGAGUGAAAACUCGGGGCUUAACUCCGAGCCUGCUUCUGAUACGGGCAGACUAGAGGUAUGCAGGGGAGAAUGGAAUUCCUGGUGUAGCGGUGAAAUGCGCAGAUAUCAGGAGGAACACCGGUGGCGAAGGCGGUUCUCUGGGCCGUAACUGACGCUGAGGAGCGAAAGCGUGGGGAGCGAACAGG
rnacentral:rRNA from 1 species